rnacentral:rRNA from 1 species
AUUGAACGCUGGCGGCAGGCCUAACACAUGCAAGUCGAGCGGAGCGGCGGACGGGCGAGUAAUGACUAGGAAUCUGCCUGGUAGUGGGGGAUAACGUCCGGCAACGGGCGCUAAUACCGCCUACAUUCAGAUAAGCCUAGGUCGGAUUAGCUAGUUGGUGGGGUAAAGGCCUGCCAAGGCGACGAGCCGUAACUGGUCGGAGAGGAGGAUCAGUCACACUGGAACUGAGACACGGUCCAGACUCCUACGGGAGGCAGCAGUGGGGAAUAUUGGACAAUGGGCGAAAGCCUGAUCCAGCCAUGCCGCGUGUGUGAAGAAGGUCUUCGGAUUGUAAAGCACUUUAAGUUGGGAGGCGUUACCAACAGAAUAAGCACCGGCUAACUUCGUGCCAGCAGCCGCGGUAAUUC